UGGGGUGUAGCUCAGUGGUAGAGCACUUGCCUAGCACACGUGUAACCCUGGGUUCCAUCCCCAGCACUGUAA
rnacentral:tRNA from 1 species